ensembl:lncRNA
CAAGGAGCUCUCAUUCUGCCCAGAGGUCUGGAAAGGAGGAAACUACUGCAGAUCUCACUGCCCCUUGGUUAAACCAGGCAUGUCUUUUGAGCACCAGCUGUGUUCCAGAUACUCUUUGAAGAGAGUAUUUAGUAUGGUGAAACGGACAAGGUCUUCAACUAGUGAAACUCUCAUCUCACAGGACAGAAUCAGAAAAUAUUGUAAAUAAGAAAAUUCCAGAUGUUGGCCUGCACCAUGAAGAAAACAGGCAGAAUACAAGAGCUUUGGGGUCAUGAAAGCUUCCACUCAAUUUUCAGAAGAAGACCUACAAGGCCAGGCAGUGUGCCUCUAAAAGGGCAAUGUGUGAAUCUGUGAGACUGAAGCUGAAAGUGUAGGGGAAACCUCAGCAAGUUGGAGACGCCAGGAAUGUAUAAACCAUCUGCUAAGGAAAGUUUCAGGGAGUGAGCAGUCAGCCCAAAAGAAAAUUCAUGUGGGCUGCAACCAGCAAUAUCACAGGGG